rnacentral:lncRNA from 1 species
GGAGUGUAAGGAGGGUGAACUGGUGGUGGAGGGGAUGAGUAUUUGUAUGGCUUCUUUGGUGGUGGUGGAGAGUGGUAGUAGGGCUUAGGGCUGACGUGAUGCACUGGUGGAGGAGGAGAGGAAUAUUUGUAUGGCUUCUUUGGUGGUGGUGGGGAAUGGUAGUAAGGUUUAGGGCUUAACAUGCACUGGUGGUGGAGGAGAAGAAUAUUUGUAUGGUUUCUUUGGGGGUGGUGGAGAAUGGUAGUAAGGUUUAGGGUGGACAUAUGGUGGAGGAGGAGAAGAAUACUUGUAAGGUUUCUUUGGUGGUGGUGGUGGUGAACUGUAAUGGUAGGGAGGAGGAGGUGUAUAAACGGUGGGGGUGGAGAGUGGUAGUAGUAUGGUUUCUUAGGUGGUGAGUACACUGGUGGUGGUGGUGAAGAGUAAUGGUAAGGUGGUUUAACUGGAGGGUACACCCCCGGUGGUGGGGAAUGUGGAGGGUACACCUUAGGUGGUGGUGGAGAACUAUAAUGGUAAGGUGGUGAGACUGGUGGAUACACCUCAGGUGGUGGUGAAUGUGGAGGGUAUUUCUUAGGUGGUGGUGGGGAAGAGUAAUGGUAAGGUGGUUUAACUGGUGGGUACACCUUGGGUGGUGGUGAAUGUGGAGGGUACACCUUAGGAGGUGGUGGUGAAGAGUAAUGGUAAGGUGGUGAAACUGGAGGAUACACCUUAGGUGGUGGUGAAUGAGGAGGAUACUUCUUAGGUGGUGGUGGUGAAGAGUAAUGGUAAGGUGGUGAAACUGGAGGGUACACCUUAGGUGGUGGUGAAUGUGGAGGGUACACCUUAGGUGGUGGUGGUGAAGGGUAGUGGUAAGGUGGGGAAACUGGAGGGUAGACCUUAGAAGGUGGAGGAGGUGAAGAAUACAAGUAGCUGUUUGCUGAAAUUUGAGAUGUAUGGAGAGAGACACUAUUAUGGCUAAUAGAAGAGUCAAAGUGGCAGAGGCCAUUGGAGACCUCAUUUUUUUUUUUUUGUUCUCUUGUUGCCUUAACCUCACUAGAUAGUGGGAUUUUGAUAUGCUAUAAUGUAACCAAGUGAUGCCCUUUAUAUAGAUCUUUUAUUUACCUACUAGUACUAAUCAUGUUGGUUGGUAACUUUGUUUUCAACUUGUCAAAAUUUUGUUGCCAAUAAGGCGUUGCCGUAUCUUUUUUUAAUUAAAAGUCAAUAAUAUUCAAACACAAGUUUUCAUUAAACAAAAACUAACUUACUUUUCUGAAUAGGUUGAUUUAAUUGGAAAAAAGGGAGGAUAAUUUAUACAAAAAGAGAAGUUGUAUUCCCUAUAUUCGGUAUCAUAAAAAGAAGAGAAACAAUUAUUAAAGCAAAUUUUGGUUAUUUUAUUUUAAUCAAUUUUUUAAAAUUAUUAAAAUGGACAGUGUUUAAUUAAACCAUUUUUUACCUCAAUAUCCCAAGUGAGCUUUGGAGUGCGUAUUUGGAUUUGAUGUAGGCUGCAAGCUUUUAGCAGGAAAUAAAAUAUCUUGAAAUAUCUCAAAAUAAAACAAAAUGGACAGAAAUCCGUAAGUGUAGUUCAGUUGAUAGCUACCAGAGAUAAUGUUUAUAAGGGUUGGGGUUCAAAUCCCAAAUUCCCCACACUAGACUAUUGAAAAAAAAAAAAAAAAAAAAGACAGAAAAUAUAAAAUGUGUUAAAUUGAUGUAGAUUAUUGGAGGUGUUAAAAAAUCAUCAUUGUAUUCUAAUGCCUAAUUUAUCUUCUCCACAUAUCUUUUACUGUUCUUGAAAAAUGCAUGCAUAGAGACCUAACUUCGUGCUAUAUUCGUCUGUCCCUUGAAGACUUUUCAAAAAGACUCGUACACCAGGGCCCAUAUGCAUGGCAUAGCAGCCUCAAUUAUAGGACGAUAAUUUUACGUGAAAUUUUUAUUAUUACUUUAUACAAAUAUUUAUUUAUUUAUUAAAAUUUUACAUAUUUACUUUUUUAAAGUAUAGACAGAAAUUUUUUCAUUUAAGUAAAAUUAAUUUCGAUGUUAUUAAUUCAUUUCCUUUCAUCCUAUCAAAUUAAUGAAUACUAUCCUUGUUGGUAGGCAGAGUCUAGAAUAUUCUAGAUUAGUAUAUACACUUCUAGCUACCUAUCACAAAUUUUGCAUGCAUUUAAAUGAUUUAUCAUGGCAUCGUCUCAGGCUUGGUCCUUUUCAGAUAAAGACAAAAGUUAUGUCUCUGUUUACUUUUAAGCCAAAGUUUUUUUUUACUCUUGUGUAAAGUAAAGUAUAUGACUUUUGAUAUACGGAUAGGAUUCUGGGUUCAAUUGGAUAUAAUUUACCCCGAGGUAUAUAACUAUUUUCUUAUAUUGUUGUUGCUUUUCUAAAACUAUCAAUAAUGAAAGAGAAAUGAUAUUUGUACAACCAUUUUUUAUAAUUUUUAGAUAAAAAUUUCUCUUUCAUAUUCACAUUAUAUUCUUACCCUCUCUCUUCCUUUUUCUCUCUCCUUUGUUUUUAACCAAUGAAAAAAGAGAAAAAGAAGGUUGUCAAAAAGGUUGUACCAAAUGGUUGUUCAAAUAUCAUUGCUCUAAUGGAAAGGUCUUAAUAUCAUCUUUAUUUAGUCUCGUUUUGGAAAAGUGAUUUAAAAUCUGAUCCGAUCAUAACGAUUUUUACAUAAUAACAUAGAAACGCAUAAAAAAAAUAUUCGAUUUUUUAUGAUUUUUUUGUUUUUUGAUCGAUUUGCAGUUUUAUUUUGAAUCGGCUUGUAUUUGAACACCCCUACUUCUUACUCAUCCACACAAGGUAACUCGAAUCAAGGUUGAGAAGAAUAAUUAUUUGUUGAAUCUACCAUUUGUGGUGGACUAAUCUUUUAAAUUUCUCGUAAUAGUUCUUUUUACUUUCAUUCAGGUAUUCCUUAUCUGUUUCUGAUGUAACUUGAUUUUUCUCUUUGCUUCUCUCUAGUAUACUUUGUGUAGGGCAAGAAGUAAAGAGGUUUAGUUAUGGAAAUUCCAUAUUAGCUUUUUUAAAAUAAAAAAAAAUAGAACAAUUUGUUUCACCAUUUAAUUUUUAUAAUUAUAUUAUAAAUAGAGAGAUUAAAGUAAAGUUGACUAAAAAAUUCGAGUAGCUAAUAAGCUCGUACUUCCUCUAAUUCUUAUUAUACGAGAAAAUUUGUUUUUCAGAUUCAUUCACUAAAUAAUGUACCAUGUUUCUAAUAUAAAAUAAAUACAUCAUUUAUUGAAUCUAAAAAAUCAACUUUCUUUGAUAAUUGAGACCCAGGGUAGAACAUGGCAAGGGUUGAUUAUAGAAAAAUGCUAAAGAGUGUCUACACUUAAAAUGGUAAGAAAUUUUGAAAAUCUAUAUAACUAUUGCAUUAGAAAUAAAACUCUUUGACUUUUUAAUGAAUUUCUAAAUUAUAAAUUAUUAAAAAAUGUCAUAGAGACACUUGUUAGCGAUAUGAUCUGUUAUACUCUAUAGGUCGCGUCCUUUUUUUUUUUUUUGACAAGUGGGUCGCGUACCUAUUCUUAAUCAAUCAAAAAUAUGUUGGAUAACAUAUUUAAUUCACCGUUGAACAAGAAUAAUGUUUUUUUAUUUAUUGUAUCAAAGAAUAAUGUAUUUUAUUCACCGUACUAAUAUUAUAAAAAAAAAUAAAAAAAAUCGACCGUCGUUCUUUUAAUUUUUCUGUCCUAAAAAAAUACUCAGUUUAAACGAGCAAGCAUAUAUUUUCAAUAUCUAAUUUUUUUCUCAAUUUAUAUUCCACUCAUAUCAUAUCAUAUAAUAUACUUAUUUUUGGUCAAAAAAAAUAUAAUAUACUUAUUUAUAACAUUAAUCACAUCGUUGACUUAUUUCUUUCUCUUUCAAGAUACUGAGGAGAUUUUCUUUAUAAAAAAAAAAAAAAAAAAAUCCAUAUUGAGGAGAUGUAUGCAUAUGUACACAAAUCAUUAAAAGUGUAAUUGAGUUGUGUAAAACACAAAAAACUGCAGAGAUGGGAACAAAUAAAUUAAUAGAAACGGCAGCUUAGUUCAUGCUCUUACAUCAGUAAAAAAUUAGGUGGGAGUUAUUAUUUUUCCACAGAUUAGCAUAUAUAUACCCCACAGGUCCAUAUCAUUUUUCCCCUUAAAAAAAGUCCAUGUUACUUUUGUUUCAAUGUAUCCAAACUAGGAAAAGUCCGGAAAAUUAGAUUUUACCUAGGCAACAACACAUCACCAUUAAUUAUUUUUUCCAUUUUUUUAGUUUUCCAUGUUUUAAGAUUUUUUAUCUUUACUAAAAGAAUCAAUAAAUUCUAAUAUCUAUCUCAUUACACCUAUUUUUUUGUUACAUGAGAUAAAAAAGAACAAAGACACAAAAAAAUGAAAAGAAAAAAAUUAUGCCCUAAUAAAGUACACAUCAACCUUAUCCCCGUGAGCUUAACUCAGUUGGUAGGGAUAUUGCAUAUUAUAUGCAAGGGCCGGGGUUCGAACCCCGGACACCCCACUUCUCCACAAUUAAAUUGUGUGAACUCUAGCCACUAGACUACUUGACCAAAAAAAAAGUACACAUCAACCGUGUCAAGUAAUAAAUUAAGCCCUAAUAAGAAGAAAAAAAAAACAAAAAAUUAAGCCCUAAUAAAUUCCAAUAUCUCAUCACAACUAUUUUUUACGAGGGAAACAUGUCUAAUGUAGAUAAAAUAUAAUUGGUGCAAGUUUGUGAAUUUAGAUUAUGUUUUUUAAGAAGGUAAACUAAAUUAUCAAAAUUGACAUAAAAGAUAAUCAAACAUGAGACUCGAAAUAUACUUUCACAGUUUUUAAAAUUUCAAUUCAAAUUUAGAUUAUAUUCGAUUACAUCUAGAUCACAAAAGUAUAAAUUGAAAAAAUAUAAAAAAAAAAAAAAAAAAACUUUCUAAGAGCAUUACAACUUUAAUGUUAGAGGUGGCCUUUAAUUUGUUUAACCGUGUGUAGUUUUUGUUUUGUUUCGUUUUUGUUUGUUUUUCAUCCUUUUAUUUUGGGUUAGAUUUUUCUUCUCCUUGUAUUUUUUUUUUCUCAUUUAUUUUGAUAUAUUUUAAAAUUAUAAAGAACAACAGCAAUAAUAAUAAAUUAAUUGCCCUUAAAACAUUUUAAAACCGUCACUAGCAAGUUAAGGGAAGUCACCAACCACACAAUAAUGACCCUUAGGAUAGUUUAUUGAUUUAAGUCAUCAGAAGUAAGAAGAAAGAAGAAAGGGAAGGCACCAACCCAAACAAUGAUAUUCGAUGAUCAUGACUAAAAAAGGUUUAACUUUCAUAUCCAACCCCUGCAUAUGCAUAUGCUUGACUUUAAUAUUGGGAUAUGAUCCAAUAUUUUGCAUCAUGCAUAAGUUAUUUUUUUCAUCGUUAGAUAAAAAAAAUGUCACACCAUUGCACCAAAAAAAAUCACAUUAAAUUUAAGGGUUAAAUAUGUUAUUGGUCCCUAUAAAUAUACCAAUUUUUCGUUUUAGUCUCUCUAAAAUUUUCCUUCAACUUUUAGUCCCUAAAAAAUUUUCCAUCUUCACUUUUGGUCCUUCUUUUAAAGUAAACUCAUAUGUAGAAUUCAUAUUUUUGAAUCAAAUUUUUCAGAAAAAUUCAUAAUAUUAUAAGAAUCUCUCCCAAAAAAAUUAGAACUUUUUAACAAAACAUGAAUUUAAUAUGAAUUUUUAUAUUAUUUAUGGUUAAAAAUUCAUAUAUAAUUUAUGUUUACUUAAAAAAUUCUAAUUUUUUUUUUGAAAUGUUUUUACAAUAUUCUACACAUUUGUGUACAAUUUCAUUAAAAAAAAAAUACUAAAAUUUACUUUGAAAUAGGGACCAAAAGUAGUGACUCAAAAUUUUACAGGGACUAAAAGUUGAAGGAAAAUUUAAGAGGGACUAAAACGAAAAGUUGCUAUAUUUAUAGGGACCAAAAACAUAUUUAACCCUAAAUUUAAUAGUAAAAUAUAUUGAUCCGAUAAUAAAAACUAAUUUAUGUAUGUUGUAAAAUUUGUUUCAUUUAUAUACAGUAGGAUUGACAUAUCAUUUGCUAGAGUAAUGUUUCUUGGACACCUUAUAUAUGUAUGGCACACUUAUUUUACACUAAAAAAUAAAAUAUUUAAUAUAUAAAAACUGUUUUUUUUUCCUUCGAAAUGAUAAAAAUUGUUUAUUUUUUAUAAUAAUAUCACUUAUGGUGGAAGACGGCCGAAAACAUGCCAUAACAUAGAGCUCCAUCGACCAUCGAAACUUCACCAUCGAUCAUCGUUGAGUCACUAAAGCUCUUCCACCGACCACCUUGGAUCGUUAGAACUCCACACCAUCGGCCAGCCACCAUCAAUAUUGAGGUGUCAAACAAGUGUCCCUAUAUAUGAACCGUUUACAAAGGAAGAAACAUAACAAUGUAAAGGGUUAGAAAAU